AUUGAACGCUGGCGGCAUGCCUUACACAUGCAAGUCGAACGGCAGCGGGGGAGAAGCUUGCUUUUCCUGCCGGCGAGUGGCGAACGGGUGAGUAAUACAUCGGAACGUGCCCUGUAGGGGGGGAUAACUGGUCGAAAGAUUAGCUAAUACCGCAUACGACCUGGGGGUGAAAGUGGGGGCCGCAAGGCCUCAUUGUAUAGGAGCGGCCGAUGUCUGAUUAGCUAGUUGGUGGGGUAAAGGCCUACCAAGGCGACGAUCAGUAGCUGGUCUGAGAGGACGAUCAGCCACACUGGGACUGAGACACGGCCCAGACUCCUACGGGAGGCAGCAGUGGGGAAUUUUGGACAAGGGGCGAAAGCCUGAUCCAGCAAUGCCGCGUGUGUGAAGAAGGCCUUCGGGUUGUAAAGCACUUUUGUCCGGAAAGAAAUGGCUCUGGUUAAUACCUGGGGUCGAUGACGGUACCGGAAGAAUAAGGACCGGCUAACUACGUGCCAGCCGCCGCGGUAA
rnacentral:rRNA from 1 species